rnacentral:rRNA from 1 species
UUGAACGCUGCGGCAGGCCUAACACAUGCAAGUCGAGCGGUAGAGAGGUGCUUGCAUCUCUUGAGAGCGGCGGACGGGUGAGUAAUGCCUAGGAAUCUGCCUAGUGGUGGGGGAUAACGUUCGGAAACGGACGCUAAUACCGCAUACGUCCUACGGGGAGAAAGCGGGGGAUCUUCGGACCUCGCGCCAUUAGAUGAGCCUAGGUCGGAUUAGCUAGUUGGUGAGGUAAUGGCUCACCAAGGCGACGAUCCGUAACUGGUCUGAGAGGAUGAUCAGUCACACUGGAACUGAGACACGGUCCAGACUCCUACGGGAGGCAGCAGUGGGGAAUUUUGGACAAUGGGCGCAAGCCUGAUCCAGCAAUGCCGCGUGCAGGAUGAAGGCCUUCGGGUUGUAAACUGCUUUUGUACGGAACGAAACGGUGAGCUCUAAUACAGUUUGCUAAUGACGGUACCGUAAGAAUAAGCACCGGCUAACUACGUG